rnacentral:misc_RNA from 1 species
GAAUGAAUGUAGAGUCAGUUGUCGCUGGUCCCUUCGGGGGCAUGUGCACGCCUUCUCUUUCAUCCACACACACCUGUGCACUCGUGAGCCGGAAGCCCUCGGGCGUCCGUCUGCUCUACAUAAACACAUAUAUAUAAUUUGAAUGUAAUCGAUGUAACACAUCUUUAAACUAAGUUUCAACAACGGAUCUCUUGGCUCU